UAGGAUGAACGCUAGCUACAGGCUUAACACAUGCAAGUCGAGGGGCAGCAUGGUCUUAGCUUGCUAAGGCCGAUGGCGACCGGCGCACGGGUGAGUAACACGUAUCCAACCUGCCGUCUACUCUUGGACAGCCUUCUGAAAGGAAGAUUAAUACAAGAUGGCAUCAUGAGUCCGCAUGUUCACAUGAUUAAAGGUAUUCCGGUAGACGAUGGGGAUGCGUUCCAUUAGAUAGUAGGCGGGGUAACGGCCCACCUAGUCUUCGAUGGAUAGGGGUUCUGAGAGGAAGGUCCCCCACAUUGGAACUGAGACACGGUCCAAACUCCUACGGGAGGCAGCAGUGAGGAAUAUUGGUCAAUGGGCGAGAGCCUGAACCAGCCAAGUAGCGUGAAGGAUGACUGCCCUAUGGGUUGUAAACUUCUUUUAUAAAGGAAUAAAGUCGGGUAUGCAUACCCGUUUGCAUGUACUUUAUGAAUAAGGAUCGGCUAACUCCGUGCCAGCAGCCGCGGUAAUACGGAGGAUCCGAGCGUUAUCCGGAUUUAUUGGGUUUAAAGGGAGCGUAGAUGGAUGUUUAAGUCAGUUGUGAAAGUUUGCGGCUCAACCGUAAAAUUGCAGUUGAUACUGGAUAUCUUGAGUGCAGUUGAGGCAGGCGGAAUUCGUGGUGUAGCGGUGAAAUGCUUAGAUAUCACGAAGAACUCCGAUUGCGAAGGCAGCCUGCUAAGCUGCAACUGACAUUGAGGCUCGAAAGUGUGGGUAUCAAACAGGAUUAGAUACCCUGGUAGUCCACACGGUAAACGAUGAAUACUUGCUGUUUGCGAUAUACGGCAAGCGGCCAAGCGAAAGCGUUAAGUAUUCCACCUGGGGAGUACGCCGGCAACGGUGAAACUCAAAGGAAUUGACGGGGGCCCGCACAAGCGGAGGAACAUGUGGUUUAAUUCGAUGAUACGCGAGGAACCUUACCCGGGCUUAAAUUGCAGAUGAAUUACGGUGAAAGCCGUAAGCCGCAAGGCAUCUGUGAAGGUGCUGCAUGGUUGUCGUCAGCUCGUGCCGUGAGGUGUCGGCUUAAGUGCCAUAACGAGCGCAACCCUUGUUGUCAGUUACUAACAGGUUCCGCUGAGGACUCUGACAAGACUGCCAUCGUAAGAUGUGAGGAAGGUGGGGAUGACGUCAAAUCAGCACGGCCCUUACGUCCGGGGCUACACACGUGUUACAAUGGGGGGUACAGAGGGCCGCUACCACGCGAGUGGAUGCCAAUCCCCAAAACCUCUCUCAGUUCGGACUGGAGUCUGCAACCCGACUCCACGAAGCUGGAUUCGCUAGUAAUCGCGCAUCAGCCACGGCGCGGUGAAUACGUUCCCGGGCCUUGUACACACCGCCCGUCAAGCCAUGGGAGCCGGGGGUACCUGAAGUGCGUAACCGCGAGGAGCGCCCUAGGGUAAAACUG
rnacentral:rRNA from 1 species